CCCCCCCCCCCCCUUUGGCCUGAAAACCCAUUGCUGGAAAGUAGAACUUUGAUUUAAGAACUCCUCUGUGUUUGCCCUUCUUCCUGAGUAAUUGCAAUCCUCAGUCUGGCAUCCUGAUAUUCACAGCAAGUGGUUUUGAUGCCACAAACAAUUGAUGUUUGCCCACAUUCUAAUUUAUGCUGCCAGGAUUGUGUAAAGGAGACUCAGCAUAAAUGAGCUUCAACGGAAACUAGAAUAAGGCAUAAGAAGGAACAAAAGGCUUUAACUGGUUGUAUAGUAUCAUAUCUUAUAGUAUAAUACAGUAUUGCUGUCUUUAUUGCUACUGUUCCUAUUUCCCAUUGUUCAUGACACAGAUCACAUAAGUCAAGUACCUUGAAGGUCCUUUGGUAUUGUACUCAAUAUACGAAGUAUUAGAGCUCUUAGAAUGUGUUAUCACACCCCUCAUAGUAUUUGUUGUUUGUCUUAAAGCCACAGCACCUGAAGUCAAGUGAUUACAUGAGAAUCUCAACUUUUAUUUAAAAAAUGACAUGUCUAGCAGUCUUAUUGCAGGGAAGAAAAUCUUGAAAACAUCUUAGAAUGCAACUUGGAGUCCAGGAAAUCAUAGAAUAAAUAAAAAGAACCCAAUGCUUAUAAAAAAUAUCCUAUGAUUAUUUUUAAGUCUAUCAUGGUUUUUUGAAUGAUUUGGAUAGGCAACAGCGCAUGUGGUAGGUUCUGCUAGUAUUUAUUUAUUUUUUUAAAGAGCAGUAAAAAGAAAUUAAUUUAUUUUUCCUGGUUUGUUUUCUCAGCUAUCUUCUGGUUAUUCAUUGCACAUGUUAGCGAAGUUUUGUUGGUUAGAGUGAGUCACUUCUCAGAGUUUAUAGAAAUGAAGAUUUCCAGCUUUGAAAAAUAUAACUCCAGUGCAUCCUUGGGGGGUUGAACAUGAUAAAAAUAACUUCAACAGCAGGGCUAAUAAGUUACUGAUGCCUGUUCAAUGCAGUAGCUACUUGGCUAGUGGCACAUAGUCAUAAGAAACUAAUUUUGGAGUGCUCAUGGAGCAUUCUCUUUUUCAAGUGGGGUAUUUUCCUCACAACCAAAUCAAAAACAAAUAGUUAGACAAGUGUCUAUAAUUGUGUGAGAGGCAGUUGCUUGUCAGAAAAAAAACCCCUCUACAGAAAUCUGUUGUAAUCCAGGAAGUCCAUUCAACAGCCAGGAUGUAAUAAAUCCUUGAUAGCAGUAGAAUUUACAGGAAAGGGUUUACGUUUUAAAAUAGAAAUAGUCCAAUAACAGACAAAGCAGGUGCCCCUUUGACCUUCCCAAAAUAUCUUUCUUCUAGGCUUUACUACCUAAUUGCACAGGUGCUAUUUCCAGCUGGGUCUUCUAUCUAGCUGGGUUGGAGGGCUGCCUCCUAGGUUCUCACCUUUGGACCUCCAGUAUUCAAGCCCUUUUUUCAAGGUUUCCUAGUUACCCUUGUAUCAGGGUUUUAGGCUCUGGCAGUCUGUUAGCUCCAUUGCUUCCCAUUUCAUGAGCAAAGGAGUUCUGUUAGACUCAUGCUAUACUCUGGGCCUCUUUGAAGAGCAGUUUUUCAUAUCUUUCCCAGCUUCAGGUCUGUCUCCCUUUGAAAGAGCACAUUUCCUCUGAUAGGCAGCCUAUCCUUGGACUGCCCUCUGGUGAUGGUGAUUACUUAACCAAAGCACUAGCCCAAGUCCCAUCAUUGAUAGCUGGAUGUAAAAAGAUCACAUGAAGAUGAUCUGAGCUCCUUUAAAGGGUCAGCCAAUACUCUGAUACCAUCAAAAUAAAGUGCGUUAUUUAUUUUUGUCCCAAGAUUAGGAAAAUACAGCUGGGGAUCCACAAGAUAAUUUAUUCUAACCCCUUGCUCAAGGCAGGAUCUUCUUUCUUGGGGCAUAAUCAUUUGGGUUGCACCCAUAUGUGGUGUCCCUUCCCUUUAAAGAAUUAAAAAUUAUUUACAGCAGAAAUAAACAAUAAACACCCCCCCAAGGGAUAAGCCAGACUUAUUAUCACUAAAGGAACAAAUCCCACUGUUGCUCUAUGAAUAACUUGUGUGAUUUCUUUCCUGCUGGAUCUUUGUCAUAUAGUUGUUUCACAUUUGGGUUUUCCCAUGUUGGGAUAGAAUUUGUGGUUGGAUAACAACUGCAAAACCUUCCAGGAAGAGGCUGAAGUUGGGUAUUUGCAUCAAUGAAUCCUGUAGGCCUAAAGUUAAAACACAAAUCAUGAAAAAUGGCUGUUGUAACGUUUAGUUUUCCGACUCUUCAGUUCCAGACACAAGCAACAUGUAAGAUGAGGGUGCACAUAAAAUGAAGGUUAUGCUGAAAUCAAAUUUAUUUGCAGAUGCCAAUAGUGAACUGGGUAUCUAUAACCCUGUUCCUGUGUGUAACUUUCAUGAUCCAGCAGAGGUACUAGAAAAGUCAAAUGAAGAUUAAAACAUACCUAAUGGUAUGGGGGACAUGGUACAGAAGAGCAAACCACAUGUCAUGGUCAUCUGCUGCAGCAGUAGUUGCUAAGGUCACUGUGUCACUGGGAGCAGCAGUGAAGGUGAGCUUUUUGUUUUCAUCCUCAAGUCUUAUAAUAAAACUGGCAGCUGUAGCUUGAGGUGGGCCUUGUUACAAAAGAUAGUGCUCUAAAAGGUAAACAUAUUUACAAGAGAUAAUAGUGUAGAUGGAACCAGCAGAUGAGUCAAGCCAAGUUUACUCAGGCUUGUUAGGGUCAGUCCUUUGACAUGAAAUGUUUUCUUUUCAAAUGUUGUGUAAGAAGAACAUUACAAUCUAGUUAGGGCACUACCCUGGGACAUAGGGUAUGUUCUUGCUCUAACUUCAGUGUGACAGGGAGAAGUCACUCUCUUUGUGAAUUUGUUUUUUAAAUAACUCUUCCACCUAAAUGUCUAUGCAUUAGGAACAAUAGAUAAAUGAGUGUCAGGUUGCUUGGGUAGACUCCUGAAAACAUAGGCCAUAUAAGUACCUGAGAGAGCAAAAUAUUAUCUACACAAAUACCAUCAUUAGUACGUGCAAAAUGCCUUUAGAAGUUCAUUUUUUCCAUUGACAAGGAUGGUGAUUUUGGGGGUUUCCUUAGUUAAUGAUUGCCUGUGAAUAUAGGGACUGAAUUCUAGCCCAAGAGGUCCAUCCAGUCCUAUAUUUCUAUGCUUUCUGAAUUUAUGCUAGCAAGAAGAAAGUCAGAUGAACUUAGAGAAAUUAAGACUUCCAGUCAAUUCCUACCUGGUAUAAAUCAGCCUAGCUCUGCUGAAGUCAAAGGAGCUACACCAAUAACACCAGCUGUGGAUUUGGACCAAAAUUUCACUAUUGAAUGCUAAAGAGAAAUCGCUGGACUUUGAAUUCAGAAAAGAUUCAACUAAUUGAGCAAAAAACUCUGGUCUGUGUAGUUGUAUCCGAUUUGAUUUUUUUUAAUUUUAUGUUAUUGCUGACUGGUGUCUGUGCAAGUCUGCUGAAGAGAACUGUCUUCUUGGGGGAAAAAAGUUGGGUCAGUCCUGUGUUCUGAUGCCCUGCUCCAUCACCUGCAACAGAACCACACCAGAGCUGGGCAGGGUGCAGGGUCCCAGCCUCACUCACUUUUCCUUGUUAUUCAGCCUAGUAUUUUCAGACUGAAUGACAACUUUUUUUCCUAUACUGCAGUCUUAUCUCAGUAGUUGGGCCUUGGUCCCAGCAAGGACAGGCUGCCAACAUCAUUCCCCUUCUUCCUUGCUAGGCUUGUUGACCAGUGGCCUGAUAUACCAUUUUUCCUGAAUAUCUACUCUGCAGUCUUCUUGCCCACUGCUUGCUGACCACAUCUACAUUGUCAGCUAAAAGGCUUGACAGCUUUACCUUCAAGCACAUUGCACUGCUCUGCAUAGUCAACCUCCUAAACUGGAAACUGCAUUAGCUAUGACUAUGUGAUGCUUUGGGUCAGCUGAUUAGCCCUGCUUAAGGGAAAGGCCAAUUAGCCCAUCUGCAGUGCUGCAGAGAUGUGGCUACACUGCUGCUACAGUAUUUUAGGAUGGAGGCUGUAUAGAGCAGUGCUGUAUGCUUAAGGGUGAUGAUGUUGAGUACAGUAAGUUUACUAGGUAGGCGUUGCCUCAGUUUCUUUAAGCUGUUUUGUCCUUUUUUUAGAUCCCUCAUCUCUCAUACAUCCUGCUUUCUCUAAUGCAGGCUUCUUCCUGGCUUCUUCAGCUCUUUUUCUCACAGCUCACUGAUUUGCUUGAUAAGUAGUCUCUCUUGUUUCCCCCCUGCCUCCUAAAUUGUUGGCUAGUGUUUAUGCAACUGAGAAGGAUUCUUCUGAGCUGCUUUUUUACUUAGAACAUUUCAUUGAUACCACUUGCUGAAGGUAAGCAACUGAAUAUAACUGAUAUUUAUGAAGACACAGGACAUUCCCUAGAGAUGGGUGACCACUUGUGUGGGUCUCUGGUACCUGAAUCUCAUCUGGAAAGUGCUCCGUCUUUAAGAUGCUGAAGCAGGGUCAUUCAAGCUAGUACAAGAUGGUAAGGUGGGCUGAAUCACAGAAGCCUGUGGGUCCAGAGAAAAUAAUCAUUUAGAAGCCCUUAAGACAUGGUUACGUUGGUUGUAUACUACUCAGUACUGCUGCUUAAAAACAUGACCUGCCUACUCGCCCCGCUGCUGCAGGCUCCAAGCCUGGAAUUGAGGUGGAAAGUUGUUUCAGGGAUACAUCCCUCACCACCACUCUUAAGACAUGCAUAUUCACUAGUUACGGUUGAAAUUCUUGCCUCUGAAACGCUGUUUCUCUUUCUCAAAGCUGAUACAUUGACCUGAGGAACAGCUGAUGAGAUUUGUUCCAGCUCCAUAUAGCAGCCUAGCUUUGGAGUUUUCUGAAAUAACGAUAUAAAAUGUGCCAUAAUUGUAUAUAAGGAUAGGGAAGGCCAGCCUGGAAAAAGAUAGCCUAUGCACAAUGCUUUUAAUUCUUGUUUCAAAUGUUCUUGUAGAGCACCAUGUACUUGCCCAGUUCUACUAGGAGGCAGUAUAACAGCUGCCAGCCCUUGGUUACCAGUUUGGAUGAGCAGUUCUGGUUAGUAUUAAGCUGGAAAGAAAGGAUGUGUUUGUGAUUAAAGCACUGCACUGGCACUUUGGGAACCUGGGUUCAAGUUGUGGGUCAGCCACAGGCUCUUUGUGUGACUUUGGGCAAGGUAAUUAGGCUGAGACAUCAAAGGCCAAGAAACAAUGUGAGUGCCCCAUUCCCAGUCAUUAUAAUUAAGUGGGAAGCUUUGAAACUCUCAGCUUUAAUCUCUCUGUGCCUCAGUUCCCCAUCUAUAAAAUUGGGAGAAUAAUACCUACCUCACAUUAAGACAAUAUGCUCAUUAAUAACUGUGGUUAUGACAGUUACUACUGUUGUCUACAAAAGCACAGUAGACACUCAGUUUACACUGAAUUUGGUGAGUGCAGAAGUUAUUUGGCCUUGCAGGCAAAGAGCCCAUGUAUAUAGCCAUGAUUUAGAUAUGGGCUGCAAAAUAAGGUCAGGCCUUUUUUUCAGUGAGAAUUUGUUUACACAGAAGAACAAAACCUUAGCGUACAAAAUUGGGCCCACAGGGAGAUAACUCCCCCCCUGCAAAUGAACUGUAAACAAAAUAUUUAUGGGGGGAAUGGCUCAUUUCAUAUAUAUUUCAUUUAGUUACAUAACAAUGUCCUGCCAUUUUUUAUAGUGAACAUUAAACUUUUACAAGAUGAAAUGACUAGUUAUUAACGUGUCAAUUUAUUUAGCCUUGCUUCCUAACAAGCCAUACACCCCCUUCAACAUCAUCUAAACUACAGUACGUCCUGCUGCCUCAUGUUAUGUGAUCAUGUAAUGAAAGGCUAUAAUGCAGGCUGGCAAGAGGAAGGGUUAAAAGAGCCAAGGGAGCCUUAAUUCCUGAGUUCUCUGACUUUUGUGGGUUUAAUUCACAAUCUUAACAUUCCAUUAGUAAGUGGUCUUACCCACAUACACAUACACACACAAUUAAAAACAAAAAAUUCUCAAAAAAUAUGAUUUUUUUUUUUUCUUGUUGUUCUGAGCCAUGCUGGUUCUGUACAUGGCAGCCAGGUGUUAUUGAUAACCAUUUUUACAUGUUAUAUUUUGGUAUAAGCUUAUCAUUCAGGGUUGAAUAGAUUUCUGUCAGGUUCCAUACAUGUUUGUUGUUUCUAAUAGGACUUUGGUCAAAAAAUGUUUUGAAGAUCGCUUGUCCUGCUGGAAACAGCAGUGGAUUGGGAAAGAGGGGACCUGAAUUCUCUUUCUGGCUCUGCCACUGGCAUUUAAGAUAAUCUUGGUCAAACUGCUUCAUCUCUCUGUGCCUCAGUGUCUCUAUAAAGUGAAGAUAAUGCUAAUUGCCUCCAGUAUAAAGGCCUUUGAAGUCUGUGGAUAAAAAGCCCUAUAAAGGGCAUUAUUCAUGCUUGUGUUGUUUGUAUUACCUCUUCUUAAUAGAUCUGAUCCUGGUUAUUAUCAUAAUUAUUUAUAUGACAGUGGACAUGUCUAUAUGAGGUGCUGACUGCACAGUUGCUACUGCGCAGUCAUUUAACCAUUGUUACUGUGCAAUAGUCUCCCCGUAUGGCUUUUUGGUGACACUGACUGCGCAGUAGCUCAUUACUACUGUUUAGUAGUGUCAUGUCAUGCUUUGUGCCAUGCAAUGCUACUGUACAGUAGUAAUGAGCUACUGUGCAGUCAGUGUCUUGUGUAAAAGUGGCCAGUAGCACCUAGAAAACCCAACCAGAGCUUUACUGUAGAAACAGUUAGUAAGGAGACUGUCCCUUCUCUAAUGAAGUUUCACUGCGUGGAUGACUACCUUGAGAACAAAAUCAGGCCUGUUUCCACCCCAGUGAGUAUUGGCCUAUUGCACAAUUCAUUUGUAAACCAAAAGGAGCAGAUACUAACAUCCUUCUUUGUGGGAUUGAUUUACUGUUUAACAUGAACACAAAUAUUGCAACUGCCUCUUAAAAUAUACUUGUAGGUUUUCAAGCUAGCUGCGAAUGAGGUGCUUUACUAAUUUGUUAACACAUUUAUUUACAGAGUGGUGACCACAGAGCAGAUCCUUGAAUCUCCAUCCCAUAUUUGGAAUUUUGCAUGGGAAGCCCCGCUGCUGAAAGCUACACCAUUUUGAUUCUACAUCCAGGAAGCCCUUAUUCAUAUGAGUACAGAAUGAAGAGCUGCUGACUUUUUUGGAUUGCCCAUGGAAGAAAAACAUUUCUGAUGACCUAGAUAAAAAAAGGUGCAGAGUGAAACUCCAAAUCACCAACAGACACAAUGACACAUAUUAUCCAGGCAAAAGCAUAUGCCAUAUUCUAUAGCAGCCAAGUACUGAGUGCUCAGGUUUGCCAGCUGGGUAUUGGACUGACUGACUUUGACUGGCCAGGUGCAAGAAGUCAAAAGGUUAAAAAUAACGGUGCAGCAAUUGGACAGCAGAGAUGCCUAGAAUUGUAGAUUUAUUCCAACUUCUCUUCUGCACACUGAAUCUCUUGCCAAAAUCUUGAUUCCAUCUGACUUCUCAGGGUGGCUACAUGUGCACCGAAACAUUUACUGCUGUUAUGCAUAGAUGUAACCCACUACAGUAUGGAGGAAAAAGAAAGCGAGUUUG